rnacentral:lncRNA from 1 species
AAUGCUUCGAGCCUUCACAUACAACUGUCUGAUUGUGUUCAUUUAUUUCUUCCUGGAGACACUCCUGGUGUGUUAAAAGUACACUCGCUACUUAUUUCACUUAUCCAAUUAAAAUAUCCAAUUCACUUCAAAUUUACCUAAUAGUCUACAGUAUGUCUACAGUUUUCGGCCAAUCACAGAACCAGCUCUGGCCCCGCCCAGACAAACCUGGACACCAAAAUUUACCUGCAACACUGUGUUUCAGUCACUCACUGUGACACGAACUGACAUGAGGCCAUUAGGGUUCAGAAAGUGCUCUGUUGUUGGUUGUUCCAACCAGCAUCGCUGGUAUACAGGCUGACGCAUCCCAGCUACCGAAACGCGAGGAGGUUGUUUUUCAAACUGAUGCCAAUGCAGGCUGUGGACACACGCCUACCUUGUAAGAGUUGUUGCUCACCUCAGGAGCAAUGGUGUGUACAUUUAACAGCAGUAUGUGAUGGAGACCAUCUUCAAUGAAGUCCUGCUGGACCCAGGUCAUUAUAUGGAGGACCUUGUAAACAUCCCUGUCCCACCGACCCUCUGAGCAGAAUUUGAGCAACCUGACAGUAAGGACGUCAUUAAUGUCAUGAUUUAACAACCAGCACUAAAAGCUAAGUUGAAAACGUGUUUGCUCCAAACACCAUUACAACUGAUCUAACUACCUCUACAUAUUGUUUACAUUUGCUCCAGUCCUGGAUCAUCAACCUUUAUAUGACAGUAGGUUUGGCAACUGGUUCAGGCUUGCGACACACCCCUAAAACAGAGCGUUGUGGAGCUUAAAACGGGCCGUGUACG